GAAAAUCAGCCGAGGGACAGAUUAAAGGUCUUGGAGGGUCGGAUCCGGUCCACGGGCCGGAUGUUUGACACCCCCACUGUAGACGAAGACAGACAGUCUGUGUUGGUGAUGUUUUCUCGAUCAUCACAGUUUUGUGUUCUUCAUUCUCUCCACAUGAAACACAAAAGUAACUGGUGAAUUUUAUUUGAUUAUUUUUCUUGUGUUUUCUGCUCAGCCUUUUCAGGUCCAGUUUCCUGCAGCAAACGGCGAAGAGGCUCGUCCAGACUAUGACAACGAAGAAGACGAUAUAGAAGAUAUGUUCAACGAUGAAUACAGUGGAGAUAAUGAAGAUGACGGUUCUUCUCAGGAUGUGCCCAGGAGUUCCGGAGCGUCGGUCCACGUCGGCGUCUGCCUCCUCCUCUUCCUCGCCUUCACUCAGAAGAUGCUUUUCUGAAACAUCUGAAACUACGGCUCAAAAAAUAAACCCAAGAAAACGUCACAGAAAUCAGCGAAAAACAAAUCCAGUUAUGAAGCGAAUCCUCAACGAACGUGACGUCAUCUGGCAACAAAAUGCUUGGUUCCACCUUGUGACAUCAUCAACUAAAGAUCUUAUUGGCUUUUUUUCCAUUCCUUACACUUCCUAUAUAAAAACAAAAUAAUAACCUCACAGGAAGUUAUAAUCUGUGUGUCAUUUGUUCGUUUGUUUUUCAAAAUAAAACCAAAAAUAAGAAAAUGAAAAAAACAACAAUUUUCUUCAAUAUUUGUCACCAAAACCAAAAUGAAAAAAUA